AGCCUUGUGCAGUGGCAGUAUUGUAGCCAAUGAGGUUAACCCGAGGCAUGAUUAUUGCUAAUUGAAAACGUUUCCCAAUACCCUGCCACGACAACUUGAAAUAUAGUCAGCAUUGGCAGUAUUUGACAGUCUCUAUGGAGC